CACGUAGGGGGCGAGCGUUGUCCGGAUUUAUUGGGCGUAAAGAGCUCGUAGGCGGCUCAGUAAGUCAGGUGUGAAAACUCCAGGCUCAACCUGGAGACGCCACUUGAUACUGCUGUGGCUAGAGUCCGGUAGGGGAGCAUGGAAUUCCUGGUGUAGCGGUGAAAUGCGCAGAUAUCAGGAGGAACACCAGCGGCGAAGGCGGUGCUCUGGGCCGGAACUGACGCUGAGGAGCGAAAGCGUGGGGAGCAAACAGG
rnacentral:rRNA from 1 species